rnacentral:rRNA from 1 species
CGGGGGGAGCAAGCGUUGUUCGGAUUUACUGGGCGUAAAGGGCGCGUAGGCGGCCACCGCAAGUCGACUGUGAAAUCUCCGGGCUUAACCCGGAAAGGUCAGCCGAUGCUGCGGGGCUAGAGUGCAGAAGGGGCAACUGGAAUUCUCGGUGUAGCGGUGAAAUGCGUAGAUAUCGAGAGGAACACCUGCGGCGAAGGCGGGUUGCUGGGCUGACACUGACGCUGAGGCGCGAAAGCUAGGGGAGCGAACGGGAUUAGAUACCCCGGUAGUCCUAGCCUUAAACGAUGAAUGCUUGGUGUCUGGGGUUUUAUAGUCCCCGGGUGCCGUCGCUAACGCUUUAAGCAUUCCGCCUGGGGAGUACGGUCGCAAGACUG